GGAUGAACGCUAGCGGGAGGCUUAACACAUGCAAGUCGAGGGGUAAAUGGUAGCAAUACUAUGAGACCGGCGGACGGGUGCGUAACGCGUAUGCAACAUACCUUGUGCAGGGGGAUAGCCCGUGGAAACGCGGAUUAAUAUUCCAUAGUCCAGCUAUAUCGCAUGGUAUAGUUGGUAAAGAUUUAUCGGCACAAGUUUGGCAUGCGUCUGAUUAGCUUGUUGGUAGGGUAACGGCCUACCAAGGCUACGAUCAGUAGGGGUUCUGAGAGGAUUAACCCCCACACUGGUACUGAGACACGGACCANNCUCCUACGGGAGGCAGCAGUGAGGAAUAUUGGUCAAUGGGCGCAAGCCUGAACCAGCCAUCCCGCGUGAAGGAAGAAGGCCCUAUGGGUUGUAAACUUCUUUUCCAGGGGGUGAAUAAUUCCNNUGUAUCGGGAGAUGACGGUACCCUGGGAAUAAGCAUCGGCUAACUCCGUGCCAGCAGCCGCGGUAAUACGGAGGAUGCGAGCGUUAUCCGGAUUUAUUGGGUUUAAAGGGUGCGUAGGCGGAACAAUAAGUCAGUGGUGAAAGACUGCAGCUUAACUGUAGACUUGCCGUUGAUACUGUUGAUCUUGAGUAUGGUCAAGGCAGGCGGAAUGUGUAAUGUAGCGGUGAAAUGCUUAGAUAUUACACAGAACACCGAUUGCGAAGGCAGCUUGCUGGGCCAUUACUGACGCUGAUGCACGAAAGCGUGGGGAUCGAACAGGAUUAGAUACCCUGGUAGUCCACGCAGUAAACGAUGAUCACUCGCUGUUGGCGAUACACAGUCAGCGGCUAAGCAAAAGCAUUAAGUGAUCCACCUGGGGAGUACGGCCGCAAGGCUGAAACUCAAAGGAAUUGACGGGGGCCCGCACAAGCGGAGGAACAUGUGGUUUAAUUCGAUGAUACGCGAGGAACCUUACCUGGGCUUAAAUGUAGAGUGCAUGAGGUAGAAAUACUUCUUUCCUUCGGGACUCUUUGCAAGGUGCUGCAUGGUUGUCGUCAGCUCGUGUCGUGAGAUGUUGGGUUAAGUCCCGCAACGAGCGCAACCCUUGCCAUUAGUUGCUACGAAAGGGCACUCUAAUGGGACUGCCGGUGACAAACCGGAGGAAGGUGGGGAUGACGUCAAGUCCUCAUGGCCCUUAUAGGUGGGGCUACACACGUCAUACAAUGGCCGGUACAAAGGGUAGCCAACCCGCGAGGGGGAGCCAAUCCCAUAAAGCCGGUCGUAGUCCGGAUCGCAGUCUGCAACUCGACUGCGUGAAGUCGGAAUCGCUAGUAAUCGUGGAUCAGCAUGUCACGGUGAAUACGCUCCCGGGUCU
rnacentral:rRNA from 1 species